rnacentral:rRNA from 1 species
UACGGGGGGGAGCAAGCGUUGUUCGGAUUACUGGGCGUAAAGGGCGCGUAGGCGGCUCGUGACAAGUCACUUGUGAAAUCUCCGGGCCUUACUCGGAACGGUCAAGUGAUACUGUCGGACUAGAGUACAGAAGGGGCAACUGGAAUUCUCGGUGUAGCGGUGAAAUGCGUAGAUAUCGAGAGGAACACCUGCGGCGAAGGCGG